CCUACGGGAGGCAGCAGUGAGGAAUAUUGGUCAAUGGGCGCGAGCCUGAACCAGCCAAGUAGCGUGAAGGAUGACUGCCCUACGGGUUGUAAACUGCUUUUAUAAAAGAAUAAAGUUAGGCACGUGUGCCUUUUUGUAUGUACUUUAUGAAUAAGGAUCGGCUAACUCCGUGCCAGCAGCCGCGGUAAUACGGAGGAUCCGAACGUUAUCCGGAUUUAUUGGGUUUAAAGGGAGCGUAGAUGGGUUGUUAAGUCAGUUGUGAAAGUUUACGGCUAAACUCGAAAAUUGCAAUUGAUACUGGCAGCCUUGAGUACAGUUGAGGUAGGCGGAAUUCGUGGUGUAGCGGUGAAAUGCUUAGAUAUCACGAAGAACUCCGAUUGCGAAGGCAGCCUACUAAACUGCCACUGACAUUGAUGCUCGAAAGUGUGGGUAUCAAACAGGAUUAGAUACCCGUGUAGUC
rnacentral:rRNA from 1 species